rnacentral:rRNA from 1 species
AUGAUGAUAAAACAAGGAUUUAGAAGGGCCUGGGUCCAGCUGAUGAAGUGCAUAACUAGUAUAAAAUAUCAAGUUAAGGUAAACCCGGGCAAAACGGAUGUGAUCGUACCUCAAAGGGGACUACGCCAAGGAGAUCCUUUAUUCCCAUACUUAUUUUUGUUUUGCGCUGAAGGUUUCUCUGCAAUGUUGAAUGAAGUUGAAGUAAAUGGAAAGGUCAGAGGCAUAAAAAUAUGCAGAAACGCCCCUAGUGUUAGCCACCUCCUCUUUGCGAAUGACUCAUUAGUGUUAAUGGAGGCAAGUGAGGGAGCAGCACAAGAGGUAAACAGGAUAUUGAGUACAUAUGAACAGUGCUCAGGGCAAAUGAUAAAGAAGGACAAAUCAUCAAUUUUCUUUAGCAAAAAUUAA